rnacentral:rRNA from 1 species
UACGGGGGGGGCGAGCGUUGUUCGGAAUCACUGGGCGUAAAGGGCGCGUAGGCGGCCCGCACAAGUCUGCGGUGAAAACCCCCGGCUUAACCGGGGGCCGGCCGUGGAAACUGUCGGGCUGGAGGCCGGGAGAGGGCAGCGGAAUUCCCGGUGUAGCGGUGAAAUGCGUAGAGAUCGGGAGGAACACCGGUGGCGAAGGCGGAUCUCUGGGCCUUACCUGACGCUCAGGCGCGAAAGCUAGGGGAGCGAACUGG